rnacentral:snoRNA from 1 species
GUGAUGUGUUUAGUGGCCCCCUCAGCGAUUAAUGAGCACGGGUAGGGGGUGCUGA